UACGGGGGGAGCAAGCGUUGUUCGGAUUUACUGGGCGUAAAGGGCGCGUAGGCGGCCAGCACAAGUCAGUUGUGAAAUCUCCGAGCUUAACUCGGAAAGGUCAACUGAUACUGUGCGGCUAGAGUGCGGAAGGGGCAACUGGAAUUCUUGGUGUAGCGGUGAGAUGCGUAGAUAUCAAGAGGAACACCUGCGGCGAAGGCGGGUUGCUGGGCCGACACUGACGCUGAUGCGCGAAAGCCAGGGGAGCGAACGGG
rnacentral:rRNA from 1 species